rnacentral:rRNA from 1 species
AGAGUUUGAUCCUGGCUCAGAAUCAACGCUGGCGGCGUGCCUAACACAUGCAAGUCGAGCGAGAAAAGGGGGGCAACUCCCUGAGUAAAGCGGCGCACGGGUGAGUAACACGUGGGUAAUCUGCCCUGGAGUGGGGAAUAACACCCGGGAAACCGGUGCUAGUACCGCAUACGAUAGCNNAGUCUGCGGAUUUCGUUAUGAAAGGAGCAAUUCGCUCUAGGAGGAGCCCGCGGCUGAUUAGCUAGUUGGUGAGGUAAUGGCUCACCAAGGCUACGAUCAGUAUCCGGUCUGAGAGGACGGUCGGACACACUGGAACUGAGACACGGUCCAGACUCCUACGGGAGGCAGCAGUGGGGAAUUUUUCGCAAUGGGGGCAACCCUGACGAAGCAACGCCGCGUGGGUGAUGAAGUCUCUUGGGACGUAAAACCCUUUCGACGGGGAAGAAAACCGCAAGGUUUGACGGUACCCGUAGAAGAAGCCCCGGCUAACUCCGUGCCAGCAGCCGCGGUAAUACGGGGGGGGCAAGCGUUGUUCGGAAUUACUGGGCGUAAAGGGUGCGUAGGCGGUUCGUUAAGUUAGAUGUGAAAACUCUGGGCUCAACCCAGAGCCUGCAUCUAAAACUGGCGGGCUAGAGUUCUGGAGGGGGUAGCGGAAUUCCUGGUGUAGCGGAAAUGCGUAGAUAUCAGGAGGAACACCGGUGGCGAAGGCGGCUACCUGGACAGAAACUGACGCUGAGGCACGAAAGCUAGGGGAGAAAAGGAUUAGAUACCCGUAGUCC